CGUUACGAUUUAGCCGAAUCACACGUGGCGUACACACACUCGCUUAAAGGAAUAGGUCACUCACUCCACCUCUUCAUCAACCACCACCACCGUUGCGUCGGAGAUUCUCCCAGACUCAACCUUCCUCCUCAAAGAAAAGGCGACCCUGAAGAACAAGAAACCAAAGGAGUAGAAAAUUCCCCUAAGAAACCAAAGCUACCUUCUCCUCACCAUCCGGGUUCGGGUACUGAUUCGGGUCAUCUCGAGUUCGAUUCGGACUCCGAAGACGACGAUGAUGAAGAAGACCAUUUGGAUUUAGACCACCACCACCAUCUCGGAAAUUUUGAAACCGGACCUUAUAUGGGAUCCCAACCGGGUUAUACCCGGUACCCGAACCCGGAAAUGAUGGGUACUCCUUAUAUGCACAUGAACUACAUGAAGAACAGUUCGAUGCCUCCUUCACUCAUCUACGAGCAAAGACCAAGUUGCCCUCAAAAAGUCUACAUAGGCGAAUCCGGACCCGGACCCGGAUACUACGGUUCUUCAACUGAUGAUCCGCCUCCUCCGUCCCCGCCUAGAUCCAACGGGUGGGAUUUUCUAAACCCGUUCGAUACUUACUAUCCUUCGUAUACUCCGAGUCGAGACUCGAGGGAGCUUAGAGAGGAAGAAGGUAUACCCGAGCUGGAGGAAGACGACGAUUCACAGUACGAGGUUGUUAAGGAAGUUCACGGUCGUGAUAAUCAGCCGACUCCUGCUGUUGUUUACAGGGAAGAGUCUGAUUCUCCGUCUCCGUCUCCGCGGCUGUCUGUUGAUAAAUCUGGAGCUAGUACUAGUGGUGGAGAUGCGGCUAUGUAUCAGACUAGGCCGAGCGUGUCGGUGGAGAAGAACGGGGUUGAGUACGAAGUUCACGUCGUUGAGAAGACGGUUGUUGAAGAUGGCGGAAACGAGAGCAAUGCCACGGCGACACGUGGAGGAGGAGGAGGUGGGCCACGUGCGGUCCCUGAGGUUGCUAAAGAGAUUGAGAAUCAGUUCGUGAGAGCUGCGGAGUCUGGAAGUGAGAUCGCUAAGUUACUUGAAGUUGGGAAGCGUCCUUAUGGUCGGAAACACGGUAAUAAAACUUUUCAGUUUUGUCCGAAUGAUUGUGAUCUUUCAAUAAUUAAUUAAAAAAUGAAACUUUUUGUUUUGUAGCAGCUUCAAAAUUGUUGCACGGGGUUACUCCUUCUGUUGCUGAGCCGCCAACGUAUGCAGACAUUGAAGAAGAGCUUGCUUCAAGGUCAAGGAACCUUUCUUCCACAUUGCACAAACUCCAUCUCUGGGAGAAGAAGCUUUACCGAGAAGUGAAGGUAACGUUAAUCUCUUACAACACUACGAUGUGUUUUAGCUCCUUUGUCUGAAGAAAAGCUUCUACUCUUUUCUAGGCUGAGGAAAAAUUGCGUGUAGCUCACGAGAAGAAGGUGAGGAAGCUAAAGCGUUUAGAUGAAAGAGGUGCUGAAGCAACUAAAGUGGAUACAACAAGGAAGCUAGUAAGAGACAUGAACACAAAGAUACGGAUUGCGAUUCAGGUUGUGGAUAAAAUCUCCGUGACGAUUAAUAAGAUUAGAGAUGAAGAUCUAUGGCCGCAACUGAACGCAUUGAUCCAAGGGUAAUAAUAACCUUGCCUCUACAUGUUUUUAGAUGUUUGCGUUUGGAGAUGUUGAUUCUGUGUUUGGUUUGCUUCUCAGGCUUACACGGAUGUGGAAAGAGAUGCUAGAGUGUCAUCAGAGUCAGUGCCAGGCUAUAAAGGAAGCUAGAGGGCUAGGGUCUAUAAGAGCUAGCAAGAAGCUAGGCGAUGAGCAUCUUGAAGCAACUAGUUUGCUUGGUCAUGAGCUUAUAAACUGGAUAUUAGGAUUCUCUAGCUGGGUUAGUGCGCAGAAAUGUUAUGUAAGGGAGUUGAAUAAAUGGCUCAUGAAGUGUCUUCUCUAUGAACCUGAGGAAACAGCCGAUGGUAUCGCUCCUUUUUCGCCUGGUCGGCUUGGUGCUCCACCGAUCUUUGUGAUCUGUAACCAAUGGUCUCAAGCUUUGGACAGGAUCUCCGAGAAGGAAGUGAUUGAGGCAAUGCGUAGCUUCACCACGAGUGUGCUUCAGCUUUGGGAACAAGAUCGGUUAGAAACGACGGUGAUGGGGCAGGAGAAAGUUAGGAGCAUGGACCGGGAAGAGCAGAGGAUACACAGGGAGAUUCAAGCGCUGGAAAAGAAAAUGGUUCUGGUUGCACCUGGUGAUGGUCUUUUGGUAUCUGGGAACGUUGUUUACCAGAGUGAUACUAGUAGCGAUAGUUUACAAGGUAGUUUGCAGAGGAUUUUUGAAGCUAUGGAGAGGUUCACUGAUGAGUGUAUGAGAGCUUAUGAUGAUCUCUUGGUGCGUGCUGAAGAAGUAACUGCUCCGAGAGAAAGUGAGGAAUGAUAAACAAAACUAGAGGAAGAUCUUUGCUUGAUCUUGCAAUGGUGGAACCAACCAGAAUCAUCUGCGUCUCAUUCUGAGCCUCAUGCAUGAAGAGCCCCACAAGUGGAUGAUGAUCUAAGAGGAGGCAUAAUCCUUGUAAAAAGACGGCCAGUUCUAUGGUUAAGAGAUACGGUUUAGUGCAAAUUGACUUUGAACCGGAUGGUUAACAUAAACCAUAUAUGAGGCAGGUAGCAUAUAUUAGUUAAGUUCUAAUAAUUUUUAUAUUCAGGCAAUGUACAUUAGGCGUUUAGGACUAAACUUUUGACGAUUCUCAGCAAUUAUUUUUGUAGAAUCCGAGGGUAGCUCAGGGAAGUCUCUCUUUCUUUUGAAGUACUAAAGAUGUGACCUUUUGGUUGCAGAAACUAGAUUACCCUAAGCAGCAUUGAGCUUCUCACUAAUCCAGGUUAUUAGUACUAGUAUUUAACAUGUGACCUUUUGUUUUGUCGCAUUAUUCUCCCUGUAUAUGUAUUUUGCUCACAUGAUAAAUUUUGUAUAAAAAAAAGAAGAAAGUUAUCAUGAAGUGGGAAAAAUGGGUGAAUGAUUUACGUUUUCUCGUUGUAAGAAAUUUUUUGUUUGAUAAUAUGCAAAUUAUGCAUGCCUGUAAAAGUUACUAGGCAUAAGAAUAAAGACAUAAUCAUUUUAUGAGAAGUUACAAACUAUUUCCAAUCAUUUACCUGACCAGCUUUAAACAUUAAUGAUUCAUGUGAGUAAACUAUACUCCCUCCGUUUCAUAAUACUUGAUCUUUUGUAAUAAUGCACAAAGAUUAAGAAAAUUACAUUUCUCUAGAAAAAUAUUUUAAAGAUAUAAUUUUAAAUUCAGUUAACCAAUUAUAAAAAAAACUGUAAAAUCUAAUUGGUUGAACAGUUUCCAAUAAAGUUAAAGUUAACCAUAAAAUCUCAAAACUUCCUUAAAAUCUCAAAACUUCAUGUAAAUUGAAACAAAACAAACCUUCUAAAACAUCAUCUAUAUUGAAACGGAGGGAGUAUAAUAAACCCACCCAAUGGUCCAUUCUUUUUUUCAGUUAGUCCCUGCGCCAAUAGUUAACGACUUUGUGUUGCUGUGCCAAACAUGAUUAGCGUGAACUUGACGUCUCGUGUGUCAAUCUAUAUGUCCUGUUUGUUUGUUGCAAAAGUAAUAAAUUGAAAAAAUUAUGUACCAUGAAGAGAAUAAGAGUGCCAUUAGUUAUUGUUGUGACCCAACCAGAACCAUGUAUUUAUUACAAAUUAGAGAUAGUGCUUGAGCAUCUAAUCAUAUAAGAAAUGCAAUUACAUAGGAGAAUCUUUGGAUAACUUCACUCUCUUCCUUUUCUACACAAAAGAGACAGCUCUUGUGUCCUCGAAAGCCUGAUUCUCUGUUUCAUUCUCCAAAGCUAAUAAUAGGAAACAAACAUUGCAAGAACUUUUCAUUGGCAUACAUCCACGUUGAGAAUAUACAAACUACUUUUCUCGCCGUUGAUCCAUUUUCUUGACCAUGAAUUUUAGUCUAGCGGUCUAUAUCAUAAAGCACUGUAUAACCAUAUCUAACUCAAAUGUGGUAAUCUGCAAUAUGCGUUUUAACUGUAAACAAAUCACAAUUUAAAUAAAAUUUUAACACUUAGCCAUAUUAGUUUAUGUGGCUUCCAAAAAUAGAUGGUAACACAUUCAGAGUGAAGAACUUUUUUUUGGUUUCAGAGUUUCAAAAGUUAACUUCUUAAAAUGUAAAUAUGUCACAGUCUGUUCAAACCCUUUAAAGAAAAUUGAUUUUCACAUUACUCUAAUUAGAAGGCACGUCAAUAAUCCAGAAAUGUCACACGGUUUCAUAGGUCAGCUACAUAAAAAAAGAAUCUUAAAUGAAAAAUGAAUAAAAAGCGAGAAAGAAAGUAGGAAUGGUUGAUGAUAAGGCACUCCAAUCACAAAACACAUUGAGCUGGCGAUAAUGAUAUUUUCCCAAAAAUCUUACAGUAUUUGGUACCACAAAGUGUUUAUCAUUAUCAAUAACAUAGGAAUCAAUUUAUAUUGUAAUAUAGUAUAGUAUAUACAGAAAAGAAGUUGACUUGUGCUGUUUUUUUUUUUUUGCCUUUUCAAUUUUCAAAUCCAUUGGUUAAACAUUUAGAAACUCAUAAAUCCUACUAAAACAUAAAGAGAUGCAUACUUCAGAGUUGACCUUAUAAAAUCUUUGUUUUAUAGACCUUAUAAAUUCUAAAAUCUUAUUUUUACCGCUGAUAUAUUAAAUUUAUAAUUAUAAAGUUUUCCCAACUUUUUAUUUUAUUUUGUAGUGGUACCAUAUUGACAAGUAGGAGACAAUGUCUCAGAAACUUACCACAGGAGUCAAAAAGACAAACUUAAAAAAAGAGAACAAUUUUUAUUUUAUUUCCAUUAAUAUCUUCUCUUCUCUCUCUCUCUCUCUAUUACAAGAAGCAAAAGAUAAACACUUUCCGACAAGCCAGAGAAAAAGAUUGGAACCUUCAUUUCAUGGGUUGUUGUCAAUCCUUGUGUCCGGAUGAACAAAACCCACUUCGGAAAGAUGGAGCUCAGCCGCCACAACCGGCUCAAACCCACCGCGGCGGCGCUACGACGGCUGCUGGACUCGAUAACGGCGGAGAUGGAGGAGUAAUCCCGUCUUUCUCAGAGUUCUCUUUGGCCGACCUAAAAGCAGCCACGAACAACUUCAGCUCAGACAACAUCGUAUCAGAAAGCGGAGAGAAAGCCCCGAAUCUUGUAUACAAAGGCAGACUUCAGAACCGUCGCUGGAUCGCCGUCAAGAAGUUUACUAAGAUGGCUUGGCCUCAUCCUAAACAAUUCGCGGUACCAAAAAGAAAGACCCUUUGUAAGGCUAACGGGCUUUGGUCUUUUUAAUUUAAUUCAAUUCGGGAAAAAAAGAAAAAUACAAAAAGUCUAGUCAAUGAGAGAAGAACAAACCAUGACGACGUGAGCAUCACACCUGAAGCCUGAAGAUCUGUUUUGGUAACAACAUCCAUUCAGUUACGUCUUUAGUUUGAACACCCAAACUAACUACACACUAGACUUUUUAAAAAGAAUAAUUUAUAUUUUUUGUCAAAAAAAAAAAGAAUAAUUUAUUUUCCCCUAAACCAUAAUAAAUAUUAAAUCUUGACUUUCCAUACACCUAAUUCAUUUAUUAGAAAAAGAAGUCGUGUACAUUCCUCGUUUAUUUUCUGACGUUACCCGUUACCAUCAUGUAAUAAUGAGUGUCCAAAUCAAAUACUGUCGUUACGUAAUUAGAGACUAAAGGUAACGGUAUUCUGGAGAAUAUAACAAAAUGGUCAAAACGGGUCAAAGUUACCAUCAAACACAAAGCCAAAGUUAGAGUAGUACUAUACUUAAAAGACCAGAACUAACCGUAUCUUUGUUUUAAGAUCCAUGUCUUGUGUCUGAACCUCUCAAAGUACUAUCCGAGAUAAGGUUUUCACUUUUUUUUUUCUUCCGGAUUUGGGUAAAUUAAUUUGGUGAGAUUAAUAGUAAUUAAUUAGAUGAUAAAGAAGAAAACACCGACUGAUCCUGUGGAGAGAAACAGACGAAAAUCUCGGUGCUGGCAAAGAUUCCUUCACAGUCCUUUUGCUGUUUGUUUUCCCUUCUUCUUCUUCUUCAUUUUUGAACUAAAUCAUUCAUUUUGAUCUCUCUUUCUCUCCUAAAUUUGAAAUAAUACUCUCUCGAGAAAACAACCACUUCACUCUUUCUUUCUAUCACUAUCAACACACACCUUCUUUGCACCUUACUCGCCUCCCCUUCUUCCUCUCACCUACCUUUCAUCUCUCUCUAUCUCUCCCUAUUAUUUUCUCAAAUCUUGUCUUUCUUUUUAAUUUAAUUUUUUGUUGGUAAAUUAACUAGUGAUGGGUUGUACAAGUUCUAAGCUGGACGAUCUUCCGGCGGUUGCUCUCUGCCGUGAACGGUGCAAUUUCCUAGAAGCGGCGAUUCAGCAACGUUACCAUUUAGCCGAAUCACACGUGGCGUACACACACUCGCUUAAAGGAAUAGGUCACUCACUCCAUCUCUUCAUCAACCACCACCACCGUUUCGUCGCUUCUCCCAGACUCAACCUUCCUCCUCAAAGAAAAGGCGACCCCGAAGAACAAGAAAACAAAGGAGUAGAAAAUUCCCCUAAGAAAGCAAAGCUACCUUCUCCUCACCAUCCGGGUUCGGGUACUGAUUCGGGUCAUCUCGAGUUCGAUUCGGACUCCGAAGACGAUGAUGAAGAAUUCCAUUUGGAUUCGGACCACCACCACCAUCUCGG
rnacentral:lncRNA from 1 species